GCCACCGCGGCGGCGCGCAGGUCGAUCGCGAUCGCCGAAUGGCGCGCGCACGUCUUCGAAAAAUCAACUCGUUCGCGCGUGAUCGAUGGCGAUCGUUUCUUUCAACGCGACGUGCUCCGGAUGAUCCCACGGGAUGAUUGUUACAUUGGACUAUCGAUGAUCUCUCGCCUCGAUUUCCUGGAUCUCGAUAGAGAUGACUGACCUGUUUUCUUUUUCUCCUCGGUCAACUGAUCAGUACGUUCAUCAACCAAAGCUUCAAGAUUAUUCGCAUACUUUUCCAUCAUCGCCAUCAUAUUGUCGAAGAUAUUUGCUUUCCUGCAAAAACAUCGAAAACAAGUCUUUCAUAUUUUCAACGUUUUAUAACAGCAUGAAGGGAAGAAUUAUUUAGAUAUCUCGAAAGAGAAUUCUCCUCUUUUAUACUGUAAUGAGUUCCGAUUGUUUCAUUAAUUAGCAUUAGCCUAUAUAAUUAGCAAAGUGCUUUUAUAUUGUUGUUUACGUACGAUAAAAAAUUUCCCUUUUCC